rnacentral:misc_RNA from 1 species
GAUGAAGAACGCAGCGAAAUGCGAUAACUAAUGUGAAUUGCAGAAUUCCGUGAAUCAUCGAGUCUUUGAACGCACAUUGCGCCCCCUGGUAUUCCGGGGGGCAUGCCUGUCCGAGCGUCAUUGCUGCCCAUCAAGCACGGCUUGUGUGUUGGGUCCUCGUCCCCCCCGGGGGACGUGCCCGAAAGGCAGCGGCGGCACCGCGUCCGGUCCUCGAGCGUAUGGGGCUUUGUCACCCGCACUGCAGGCCCGGCCGGCGCUGGCCGACGCGAAAGCAACCAUUUUUUCUCCAGGUUGACCUCGGAUCAGGUAGGGAUACCCGCUGAACUUAAGCAUAUCAAUAAGCGGAGGA